UGGGGAAUCUUGCACAAUGGGGGCAACCCUGAUGCAGCGACGCCGCGUGAGCGAUGAAGGUUUUCGAAUCGUAAAGCUCUGUCCUAUGGGAAGAUAAUGACGGUACCAUAGGAGGAAGCCCCGGCUAACUACGUGCCAGCAGCCGCGGUAAUACGUAGGUGGCAAGCGUUGUCCGGAUUUAUUGGGCGUAAAGCGAGCGCAGGCGGUCAAUUAAGUCUGAUGUGAAAGCCCCCGGCUCAACCGGGGAGGGUCAUUGGAAACUGGUUGACUUGAGUGCAGAAGAGGAGAGUGGAAUUCCAUGUGUAGCGGUGAAAUGCGUAGAUAUAUGGAGGAACACCAGUGGCGAAGGCGACUCUCUGGUCUGUAACUGACGCUGAGGCUCGAAAGCGUGGGUAGCAAACAGG
rnacentral:rRNA from 1 species